UACGUAGGCAGCAAGCGUUGUUCGGAGUUACUGGGCGUAAAGAGUGCGUAGGCGGUGUCGAAAGUUUGGCGUGAAAUCUCCCGGCUUAACUGGGAGGGUGCGCCGAAAACUGCGACGCUGGAGUGUGGGAAAGGCAAGCGGAAUUCCUGGUGUAGCGGUGAAAUGCGCAGAUAUCAGGAAGAACACCAAUGGCGAAAGCAGCUCUCUGGGACGGUACUGACGCUGAGACGCGAAAGCGUGGGGAGCGAACAGG
rnacentral:rRNA from 1 species